AUGCUUACCUGGCAGGGGACCUACCAGGAGCAUGCUGGUGGUUUUCCCAGGGUGAGGCUUAUCCAUUGCAGUUAGAAUGUGCUGGCAUCUGUGAUUUCCCCAAAUGUGGGAAACUCGACUGCAUAAUUCGUGGUAGUAGGGGACUGCAUUCGUGCUCUCCCCUG